CAGUCGCCGCGGUAAUACGAAGGGGGCUAGCGUUGUUCGGAUUUACUGGGCGUAAAGCGCACGUAGGCGGACUUUUAAGUCAGGGGUGAAAUCCCGGGGCUCAACCCCGGAACUGCCUUUGAUACUGGAAGUCUUGAGUAUGGUAGAGGUGAGUGGAAUUCCGAGUGUAGAGGUGAAAUUCGUAGAUAUUCGGAGGAACACCAGUGGCGAAGGCGGCUCACUGGACCAUUACUGACGCUGAGGUGCGAAAGCGUGGGGAGCAAACAGGAUUAGAUACCCCCGUAGUCCCUGUCUCUUAUAC
rnacentral:rRNA from 1 species